UCCCAUGUGGUCUAGUGGCAUAAUAUCUGGCUCUCACCCAGAAGACCUCGAGUUCGAUUCCCGGCGUGGUUA